UAAUGAGUAUCUUUUUUUUUGGGUUUUUUGUCUGUUAAAAAAAGAGUUUUUUUUUUUCAUUUAUUUAUUUGUUUGCAAUUUUUCAUCCCAAUAGAAAGGUUUAACUGCAUUUGCAUGCACAUGUAUUUUGAAUGUCAAGAGAUAAUUAAAAGAAAAAAUUAAUACAAGUUUUCAGAACUUGGUUUUUAACGUACGUAUCUCAGAAUGACUAUGCAGCCUAAUUUAGUAGAAGAUCCAAAUCAAGUGUAUGAAUAAUAUAAUGAACUUAUUAAUUAGAAAGCAAUUAGUGCUUUGCUUAUUCAUAAGUUUUGUUGACAGACAAGUCGGGAAGUUUCUAUUUUCUUGGAAUGGAUCGGUGAAGAGAAAAGCUCAAACUUAGACACACAACACAACCCACCC
rnacentral:lncRNA from 1 species